rnacentral:lncRNA from 1 species
CAUUUUAGAAUGAUUCUUUCCUAUGUGAUAUUCUCCCAGAUCACUGCUCUAAGUGCUUUAUGUGUGUUAAAUUGUUUAAUCCUUACAACCACACCUAAGUUAGAUUAUUAUUCUUGUUUUACAAAUGCAGAAGUCAUUGAGUUAAAAGAAAAACCUUGUAAUUCACAUAGCUAGCAUGUAGUGAAGCUUCAAACCCAGUUGCAUUGAUGCAGUUGUGGAUACCCUACCUCAUUUUGCCAGCUGCCUAUGUGGACUACAGUAACUUGUUGCACUCCUUGUGUGCUAUGCAGUGCCUGUUACAAGGACUCUCACUACAAGUCUGACUUUUUUAUUUCACUUGCCUUCUCCAUGUGCUGUGAUUCUUCAACUUUACUGCACUCAAGAAUCAAGGGAACUUACUUAAAAAGAAAUCAGAUUCCAGGGUUCCAACCCCAGAAAUUCUAAUUCUAGAAGUCUGACUAUGUCCCAUGAAUUUGCACUCUAAGCAGACUUCCUAGGUAGCUCUGAAACAGGUGGUCUGUAGACCACACUUUAAGAAUUAUCUUCAAGGAUUGGGCUAGUUUUAGUUUGUAGUGAUUUCUUGUGUCUCUUAAUGAAGGCCUAGACAAUAUAGUCUGGAUUGAUUGGAUAAACACAGAGGAACAAGAGAGCGGCAGAAUUGUACCAUGCAUGCAGCAGGCCAUGCUCUACACGGGCCUCUCAGGAUGCAGCAGAGAGGUACCCUGGAUAUACAGGCUUUUUGGAAUACUGAUGUGAGUGUAGAGGCCAGAAAAAUGAAGCUAGGUGGUAUUGGAGGAGAAUCUCUGAAGACUGCUCUCAGUAGGCUGACAACAAGUUAAGAUGAAUGUGUAACUGUUUUCUACAUUCUUCUUACUGCUAUAAAAAUAAUUGAAAUGCAGAAUGCUUAACUUCAUUCAGCUGUAAGCCUUGUAAGAACAUCAAUAAAAAUUUAAAAAUUCUAUUCCUGUUCUUUCAUUUUUCUAGUUUCCCUGGGUGUCUCUCAUCACCCUGCCUAAUC